UACCGAAGUUUUCCUCGGUAAUUAACUGCAGUCGGUUUCAUAAUUCGACAAUUAACUGCCGAGGAAGAU
rnacentral:pre_miRNA from 1 species